rnacentral:sRNA from 1 species
AGCGGAAGUGUCCUCGUUUCCUUUUGCUGUAGGCCUGAGUGGUUGCUGCCGGUGAGUAGAAGCUUGGGUUGAAUCUUUCAAUCCGCCGCCAUCCGCGGCUUGGGGGUCAAGGGUCCGGGCGGCGCCGGGGGCGUUCCUUCCCUAGGUCUUUGGCGGCUACGUAUCCGAUCCUGUCCUGCGAGCAGGGCCCUCGGGCGGCCUGGACCAAGGCGACAGUGAACACAGUCUGAAGUUCCGGCCCAAGACCUGGGCUUGCUGGCAGGAGUCGGCUCUGGGCGUCUUUGGCUUUACGGAUUUUUAAGUGACCCUUUCUCCUUGUUCUCUGCAGAAAUGGGCAAGUUCAUGAAACCUGGGAAGGUGGUGCUUGUCCUGGCUGGACGCUACUCCGGACGCAAAGCUGUCAUCGUGAAGGUAUCAGCCUCGCGGGACUCUGCGUCCUUGCAUCCCGGGACCAGGCUGGCUGCGGCGGGGCGGGCAGGCUUGGAAUUUAAGGCCUGCUUCUGGGGCAGUAGCCAGUGAGCACGGUCAGGGUGAAUGUGGGAGAGCUUUUGAGAGAGGAAGAAGCAUAAGCAUAGUAAAAGCAAAUGUGAGCUGAAUUGGGCUCCUAACGCAUAACGCCUUCUCCACCAGAGGCUUUAAAUAUAUAGUAAUAGUGGCUGACAUUUAUUGCACGCUUGCUAUGUGCUCCCAUUGCCUUUCGGGUAUUGUCAUGUGCAGCCCUUGAAGUAAUCAUAGGACAUUCCUUUUCUUUUCUUUUCUUUUUUUUUUUUUUUUUUUUUUUUUUUUGAGACGGGAUCUCUGUCCAGGCUGAAGUGCAGUGGAGCGAUCACUGCAGCCUCGACCUCCCGGGCUCAAGCGAUUCUCCCAUCUCAACCUCCCGAGUGGCUGGGACUACAGGUGCGCGCCACCAUCCCCAGCUAUAAGGGGUUCCUUCCUGUUGCUAAGGUUUAGAGGUGUUCUGUUAUUUACCUGAAGUGCUGCAGCUGGGAAUCUGUAAGAAGAGGAAGAAAUUGCUUUUAGAACGUCACGUAGCCCCUCACUGUUUUCCUCUUACCCAUGUUUUUGUAGCUUCUUGAGAGAUCUCCCUAGGCUCUGGCCACAUACACCACUGCGUUUUGCUGUUGUGGGGACACUGGAGUACCCCUGGAUUCCCCACUCCCAUCUCCUGAGACUGGUCUCUGGAGUUAGGCUCUGGUGUCUUAACCUUGGCUGUACACUUCACUAGCAGUGGAGCAAGUAAAUAGAUACCAAGUCCUGUGAGCAGUGCUUGGCAUAUAGCAAGUACUUCUUAAAUGUUAACUGUUGCUACUUUUAAAUCUCUUACCUCUAAUAAGCUGUUCCAGAUGCUUCCUGGUGGAGAUAAACACUGUUCUGUUUCUCUUUGGUCAUUUCUCAUAGCUUUCUGUGAUUUUUCUCUUUAUAAUGGUGGAUCUUGGAGACCUGAGGGUGGAAAUAUUUUUUGGACACUGCCCUACUUCUAACACAGGGCCUAAAUAGGCCCUCAGUGAAUAACAAAUGUAAUUCUUACUCAUUUAGAACAUUGAUGAUGGCACCUCAGAUCGCCCCUACAGCCAUGCUCUGGUGGCUGGAAUUGACCGCUACCCCCGCAAAGUGACAGCUGCCAUGGGCAAGAAGAAGAUCGCCAAGAGGUCAAAGAUAAAGUCUUUUGUGAAAGUUUAUAACUACAAUCACCUAAUGCCCACAAGGUACUCUGUGGAUAUCCCCUUGGACAAAACUGUUGUCAAUAAGGAUGUCUUCAGAGAUCCUGCUCUUAAACGCAAGGCCCGACGGGAGGCCAAGGUCAAGUUUGAAGAGAGAUACAAGACAGGCAAGAACAAGUGGUUCUUCCAGAAACUGCGGUUUUAGAUGCUUUGUUUUGAUCAUUAAAAAUUAA